rnacentral:rRNA from 1 species
GACGAACUGUCCUAACGUUGUUCGGAAUCACUGGGCUUAAAGGGCGCGUAGGCGGUCCAACAAGUCAGGGGUGAAAUCUUGCAGCUCAACUGCAGAAGUGCCUUUGAUACUGUUGGUCUUGAGGGAGAUAGGGGUGUGCGGAACUCACAGUGGAGCGGUGAAAUGCGUUGAUAUUGUGAGGAACGCCGGAGGCGGAAGCGGCGCACUGGAUCUCUUCUGACGCUGAGGCGCGAAAGCUAGGGGAGCAAACGGG